UGUGAGAGUGAUGAGUUGCACACUGGUGGGGCCAUGGUAUCAGGUGAUGCAGGCACCACUCAGUACCACCUGCUGACAAAAUCAAGUGCACAGGGGCCAUCUGACUCACA
ensembl:snoRNA